CAGAAAACCAAACACCACAUGUUCUCACUGGUGAGGACACAAUAGGAUGACCAUCAGCAAACCAGGAAUAAUGCCCUCAACAGACAUCUGAUCUGCUGACACCUUGAUCUUGGACUUCUAAUUCUGCAGAACUGUGAGAAAUAAAUAACUGUUUUUAAAAACCA